rnacentral:rRNA from 1 species
CAGUCGCCGCGGGAAUACGAAGGGGGCUAGCGUUGUUCGGAUUUACUGGGCGUAAAGGGCGCGUAGGCGGACUGAUAAGUCAGGGGUGAAAUCCCAAGGCUCAACCUUGGAACUGCCUUUGAUACUGUUUGUCUUGAGUUCGAGAGAGGUAAGUGGAACUGCGAGUGUAGAGGUGAAAUUCGUAGAUAUUCGCAAGAACACCAGUGGCGAAGGCGGCUUACUGGCUCGAAACUGACGCUGAGGCGCGAAAGCGUGGGGAGCAAACAGGAUUAGAUACCCCCGUAGUCCCUGUCUCUUAUAA